GCUCAGGAUGAACGCUGGCGGCGUGCCUAAUACAUGCAAGUCGAACGCUUGCUUGAGGACUUGUCUUCAAGCAGGAGUGGCGAACGGGUGAGUAAUACAUAAGCAAUCUGCCCAUCGGCCUGGGAUAACAGUUGGAAACGACUGCUAAUACCGGAUAGGUGAUGAAGAGGCAUCUCUCGAUCAUUAAAGUUGGGAUACAACACGGAUGGAUGAGCUUAUGGCGUAUUAGCUAGUAGGUGAGGUAACGGCUCACCUAGGCGAUGAUACGUAGCCGACCUGAGAGGGUGACCGGCCACAUUGGGACUGAGACACGGCCCAAACUCCUACGGGAGGCAGCAGUA
rnacentral:rRNA from 1 species